rnacentral:rRNA from 1 species
AGAGUUUGAUCCUGGCUCAGAUUGAACGCUGGCGGCAUGCUUUACACAUGCAAGUCGAACGGCAGCGCGGGGGCAACCCUGGCGGCGAGUGGCGAACGGGUGAGUAAUACAUCGGAACGUACCCAGAAGUGGGGGAUAACGUAGCGAAAGUUACGCUAAUACCGCAUACGUUCUACGGAGGAAAGUGGGGGACCUUCGGGCCUCAUGCUUUUGGAGCGGCCGAUGUCUGAUUAGCUAGUUGGUGAGGUAAAGGCUCACCAAGGCGACGAUCAGUAGCUGGUCUGAGAGGACGACCAGCCACACUGGAACUGCGACACGGUCCAGACUCCUACGGGAGGCAGCAGUUUGGAAUUUUGGACAAUGGGCGAAAGCCUGAUCCAGCGACGCCGCGUGAAUGAUGAAGGCCUUAGGGUUGUAAAGUUCUUUAAGUAGGGAAAAUAAUGAUGGUACCUACAGAAUAAGCACCGGCUAACUCCGUG